GACGAACGCUGGCGGCGCGCUUAACACAUGCAAGUCGAACGGAAAGGCCCUGCUUUUGUGGGGUGCUCGAGUGGCGAACGGGUGAGUAACACGUGAGUAACCUGCCCUUGACUUUGGGAUAACUUCAGGAAACUGGGGCUAAUACCGGAUAGGAGCUCCUGCUGCAUGGUGGGGGUUGGAAAGUUUCGGCGGUUGGGGAUGGACUCGCGGCUUAUCAGCUUGUUGGUGGGGUAGUGGCUUACCAAGGCUUUGACGGGUAGCCGGCCUGAGAGGGUGACCGGCCACAUUGGGACUGAGAUACGGCCCAGACUCCUACGGGAGGCAGCAGUGGGGAAUAUUGCACAAUGGGCGGAAGCCUGAUGCAGCAACGCCGCGUGCGGGAUGACGGCCUUCGGGUCGUAAACCGCUUUCGCCUGUGACGAAGCGUGAGUGACGGUAAUGGGUAAAGAAGCACCGGCUAACUACGUG
rnacentral:rRNA from 1 species